rnacentral:sRNA from 1 species
CGCUGCCGUGAUCGUGGUC